UCUUAGCUAAUAAGCGGGCCCUGACCCAAACCCACGCGAGUUGCAGACAAUCACAGUGGAACUCUACAGUUCCAUUCAUCCUAAGGAACUCUGAAUUCGAUUAUCAGAACCCUAGUUCCCAAUCCAAUAUCUCGUUUUCCAAUUCCAUUGAAGACAUGUAUCGAAAAUCAUUAUUCCCAUCCGUUGCGAUUCUUCAUUCUAAGAAAUCGUAUGAAGUCUGUGCCAUUGAUUGCCUGAAUUCCAUUUCCCGGCCUUCACAUUCCACAUUUCACAAUAUGCUGAAUCGCUGAUGCAUGUUGGGGUCUGAUUCGAAGAUGGCAUAUCUGCUGGAGGAGGCUCUAAUGCUUCCAAUUCCCCAACUCCAUUCUCUACGAGGAAAACCAUAGCCAAACCCCAGGUGAUGUGAACAUCCAAGUGACAAUGCAGCAGCCAAACUCCUGUUUUUGCCAAACAAAGCAAGUAAAAUAUCAAAUGAGGAACAAUAGACAUGUACACUAGCUGUAUUCCUCAAUGGGGGAUCAACAAGGUUAAAUUUAGAUGUAUCACGGCUGGGAUUGAAGUUUCCAAAGCCCUGUGCGAUGAUGUAGAAAUCAUAUCCGUGAAGAUGAAUUGGGUGGUUCUCAGCUGUG